rnacentral:rRNA from 1 species
AUUGAACGCUGGCGGCAUGCCUUACACAUGCAAGUCGAACGGCAGCACGGGAGCAAUCCUGGUGGCGAGUGGCGAACGGGUGAGUAAAGUAUCGGAACGUGCCCAGUCGUGGGGGAUAACGCAGCGAAAGUUACGCUAAUACCGCAUACGAUCUAUGGAUGAAAGCGGGGGAUCGCAAGACCUCGCGCGAUUGGAGCGGCCGAUAUCAGAUUAGGUAGUUGGUGGGGUAAAGGCUCACCAAGCCGACGAUCUGUAGCUGGUCUGAGAGGACGACCAGCCACACUGGGACUGGGACACGGCCCAGACUCCUACGGGAGGCAGCAGUGGGGAAUUUUGGACAAUGGGCGAAAGCCUGAUCCAGCCAUGCCGCGGGCAGGAUGAAGGCCUUCGGGUUGUAAACUGCUUUUGUACGGAACGAAAAGGUUUGGCCUAAUAAGCUGAGCUCAUGACGGUACCGUAGAAUAAGCACCGGCUAACUACGUGCCAGCAGCCGCCGUAA